rnacentral:rRNA from 1 species
GACGAACGCUGGCGGCGUGCUUAACACAUGCAAGUCGAACGCUGAAGCUCAGCUUUUGUUGGGUGGAUGAGUGGCGAACGGGUGAGUAACACGUGAGUAACCUGCCUCCUUCUUUGGGAUAACGCCCGGAAACGGGUGCUAAUACUGGAUAUUCACUGGUCUUCGCAUGGGGGUUGGUGGAAAGGGUUUUUCUGGUGGGGGAUGGGCUCGCGGCCUAUCAGCUUGUUGGUGGGGUGAUGGCCUACCAAGGCUUUGACGGGUAGCCGGCCUGAGAGGGUGACCGGUAACAUGGGGACUGAGAUACGGCCCAGACUCCUACGGGAGGCAGCAGUGGGGAAUAUGGCACAAUGGGCGCAAGCCUGAUGCAGCGACGCAGCGUGAGGGAUGGAGGCCUUCGGGUUGUGAACCUCUUUCGCACAUGGUUAAGCCGCAACAAUGGUUGUGGUGAGGGUAGUGGGUAAAGAAGCGCCGGCUAACUACGUG